rnacentral:rRNA from 1 species
UAUACAUGCAAGUCGAACGGUGUCUUCGGACAUAGUGGCGCACGGGUGCGUAACACGUAUGCAACCUACCUUACAUUGGGGGAUAGCCUUUCGAAAGGGAGAUUAAUACCGCAUAAGACAGUAACUAGGCAUCUAGUAGCCGUUAAAGAUUUAUCGAUGUAAGCUGGGCAUGCGACCAAUUAGCUAGUUGGUGAGGUAAUGGCUCACCAAGGCUAUGAUUGGUAGGGGAACUGAGAGGUCAAUCCCCCACACUGGCACUGAGAUACGGGCCAGACUCCUACGGGAGGCAGCAGUAGGGAAUAUUGGGCAAUGGACGCAAGUCUGACCCAGCCAUGCCGCGUGCAGGAUGAAGGCGUUAUGCGUUGUAAACUGCUUUUAUACAGGAAGAAACGACUCUUGCGAGAGGCAUUGACGGUACUGUAUGAAUUAGCACCGGCUAACUCCGUGCCAGCAGCCGCGGUAAUACGGAGGGUGCAAGCGUUGUCCGGAUUUAUUGGGUUUAAAGGGUGCGCAGGUGGUUUAUUAAGUCAGUGGUGAAAGACGGUCGCUCAACGAUUGCAGUGCCAUUGAAACUGGUAGACUUGAGUAAAGUAGAGGUGGGCGGAAUUGAUAGUGUAGCGGUGAAAUGCAUAGAUAUUAUCAAGAACUCCAAUUGCGUAGGCAGCUCACUUGGCUUUUACUGGCACUCAUGCACGAAAGUGUGGGUAUCAAACAGGAUUAGAUACCCUGGUAGUCCACACUGUAAACGAUGAUAACUAGGUGUCGGCCGAAUCUGGUCGGUGCCACAGCGAAAGCGUUAAGUUAUCCACCUGGGGAGUACGCCGGCAACGGUGAAACUCANAGGAAUUGACGGGUGUCCGCACAAGCGGUGGAGCAUGUGGUUUAAUUCGAUGAUACGCGAGCAAUCUUACCUAGGCUAGAAUGUGAAGGAAUGAUAC